ACGUAGGGUGCGAGCGUUAAUCGGAAUUACUGGGCGUAAAGCGCGCGCAGGCGGUCCGCUAAGACAGGUGUGAAAUCCCCGGGCUUAACCUGGGAACGGCGUUCGAUACUGGCUGGCUAGAGUAUGGGAGAGGGAAGCGGAAUUUCCGGUGUAGCGGUGAAAUGCGUAGAUAUCGGAAGGAACAUCAAUGGCGAAGGCAGCUUCCUGGACCAAUACUGACGCUCAGGUGCGAAAGCGUGGGGAUCAAACAG
rnacentral:rRNA from 1 species